UGAUCUUCUCCGUUGUGCCA
rnacentral:siRNA from 1 species